CCUAAAAUGGCUACGAAAUUUUUCAUUACAACAAAAACGAUGCAUAGCGAUACUUUUAAAUGUCGGCAUAGAUUUAAAAGAAGUGUUGCUGGCUAAAUUACCGACACUUUUAAAAAGUAUUGCUGUAUGUGAGGUCGCUAUAUAUAUAUAUAUGGGGCCGCCUUGAUAUUUGGCACUUAAUUUUCUAGCGACUUGUGGCCGGGGAACACGUGACGAUCGUAGAACUCUAGCCGCCAGAACCGUAUCUCGUCAGCUGCGCCGGCGAAGGAGAAGAAAGGGAGAUGGUGAUUAUUUUUUUUUCCUUUUCUAUUUCUAAUCGGGUCGAAUGGGCUGGAUGAGAUUGGUUUAGUAGAGCAACUUUUUAUUUUUGAUUGGAUUUGACUUAUAUUUAAGGUUUAGUAGUAUUUUUUUAAAAAUUUUGACAUAAAUAAAAUACUUAUAAAAGAAUGUUUCAAAAAUACGUUUCUGUAAUUUAAUUCUGAUGUAG
rnacentral:lncRNA from 1 species